AGGAACUCGGCAAAUUGACACCGUAACUUCGGAAGAAGGUGUGCCUUUAGUAGGUGUAGUUGUACAAACGAAGCCCAAUGAGGCCGCAGAGAAUCGGUGGCUGCAACUGUUUAUUAAAAACACAGCACUCUGCAAAGACGAAAGUCGACGUAUAGGGUGUGACUCCUGCCCGGUGCUGGAAGAUUAAAUGAUGGGGUGCAAGCUCUUGAGUGAAGUCCCAGUAAACGGCGG
rnacentral:rRNA from 1 species